GACGAACGCUGGCGGCGUGCUUAACACAUGCAAGUCGAACGAAGUGGCGAACGGGUGAGUAACGCGUAAUCAACCUGCCCUUCAGAGGGGGACAACAGUUGGAAACGACUGCUAAUACCGCAUACUGAAGGUGGGGAUUGCGUGUGAUUAGCUAGUUGGAGGGGUAACGGCCCACCAAGGCGAUGAUACGUAGCCGGUCUGAGAGGAUGAACGGCGAAAUUGGGACUGGGAAACGGCCCAGACUCCUACGGGAGGGAGCAGUGGGGAAUCUUCCGAAAUGGACGAAAGUCUGACGGAGCAACGCCGCGUGAGUGAUGAAGGCCUUCGGGGUGUAAAGCUCUGUUAAUCGGGACGCGGUACCGGAAUAGAAAGCCACGGCUAACUACGUGCCAGCCGCCGCGGUAAUAC
rnacentral:rRNA from 1 species